rnacentral:lncRNA from 1 species
GUGAGAGGAGACAUGCGGACGUCGGGCAGAGGCUUAUUCAACACUGUUACAACACUUUUAAAUGAGCAAAACAUCUUUAAAAAUCCUUAUAAAUUCUUUAUAAUAUGUUACACAUUUAGAGACAAUAUUUACAAUAAAGGAUGAGGGAGGGAGGAUCAAGAAAUCUACUUUACAGCAAAUCUUUGCAUAAAACAAGAGGACCGAUCGACGUGGCAGUGGGUUCACAACCCCCUGGGCUUCCCUGGGAUGAGUGAGGACGUGGGUGGAGAGGCCUGUGAUCUGAGAUCUAUUUACAACUGUGGGGGGAAGAGGGCGCUGGGUCCUGCCCUUCCUGAAGGAGCAGCCCAGCGCAGAUCCCGUCCAUCUGUGUGUGUGUGUGAGAGAGAGUGAGUGAAUGAGAGUGUGAGAGACAGACACUUAGACACCAAGGAUGUUUUCUACCCUCCCUCUUAAAGGGAAGAAGGUGGGGCCCGUGUGCCUUAGCUGUGGAAGGAGCAGGCACAGCUGGAAGAACAAAAAGAGGGGCAAGAGGUCUAGCCGGGGGGACUCUGGACCCUCCCCAGACGGUCUGGGGCACAGGCAGCUCCCCAUGGUCAUAAUGUAAAGAUUGGAAAAAGGUCGGUGAGUAACCCUGGGAAGUGUCAGUCCUGCCUCUGUGGAGGGGCCCCACCCCUCUUCUCUGGCUCUGACAGGCGGCAGGGGAGCAGGAUCCCUGUGUGCGCGGAAGACAGGGANGCAGGGGAGCAGGAUCCCUGUGUGCGUGGAAGACAGGGAGCCCUGAUGGGGGCGGGGGAGGAAAGGGGCAGGGGUGGCAGGAGUUGCUACGGAAACACUUGGACAGUGAGAACACACACUCGCGCACACACACACACACACACCCCCACCUGAGCUGGCAGCUAGGGGCUAAUGCGCGCGGCGAGGGCAGAGGAAAGGGGUGAGGAGCCAGCAUCACCCAGUGUCUUCUUGGUCUGAGCCUUAGGGGCUCCCUAUCCACAGCCUAUGGGCCGAU